CCUACGGGGGGCAGCAGUGGGGAAUAUUGCACAAUGGGCGCAAGCCUGAUGCAGCCAUGCCGCGUGUGUGAAGAAGGCCUUCGGGUUGUAAAGCACUUUCAGCGGGGAGGAAGGCGUUAAGGUUAAUAACCUUGGCGAUUGACGUUACCCGCAGAAGAAGCACCGGCUAACUCCGUGCCAGCAGCCGCGGUAAUACGGAGGGUGCAAGCGUUAAUCGGAAUUACUGGGCGUAAAGCGCACGCAGGCGGUCUGUCAAGUCGGAUGUGAAAUCCCCGGGCUCAACCUGGGAACUGCAUUCGAAACUGGCAGGCUAGAGUCUUGUAGAGGGGGGUAGAAUUCCAGGUGUAGCGGUGAAAUGCGUAGAGAUCUGGAGGGAUACCGGUGGCGAAGGCGGCCCCCUGGACAAAGACUGACGCUCAGGUGCGAAAGCGUGGGGAGCAAACAGGAUUAGAUACCCCGGUAGUC
rnacentral:rRNA from 1 species